rnacentral:rRNA from 1 species
UACAGAGGGUGCUAGCGUUGUCCGGAAUCACUGGGCGUAAAGGGCGCGUAGGCGGCCCGAUAAGUAGGGGGUGAAAUCUUGCGGCUCAACCGCAAGGCUGCCUUCUAAACUGUCGGGCUGGAGCACGGUAGAGGCAGAUGGAAUUCCCGGUGUAGCGGUGGAAUGCGUAGAGAUCGGGAAGAACACCAGUGACGAAGGCGGUCUGCUGGGCCGUUGCUGACGCUGAGGCGCGACAGCGUGGGGAGCAAACAGG